AACAUCGCGCACCUGCGGGAACCUGCGGAGGGAUCAUCAUUGCUAACAACGUCCCAAGCUUUCGGGGAGGAGGAGAGAAAUUUUCUUUUCCCCUGGCUUUUGGGCUUUUACAAACAACUUUGAUACCCAAAAAGAGUCUCGCUCCCUUGGCUUUAUCUCUUUGGUUUUCAGCUUGUUUUUAUAUGGGCUGAUAGGAUAGCUGAAGGGAGAAAAGGAAAGUGGAGAAGAGAAAAAAAACAU
rnacentral:misc_RNA from 1 species